rnacentral:lncRNA from 1 species
AUUUACCUAGUUAUCGAAAGGAUUCAAAAUCAAUAAUUUUUAAUGGUUGAUAUAUGCCGUUUUCAAGUUUAACGGUGUAGAAGUAUUCAAAUCAGAUGAAAUUUUGAUACAAAAUUCUUUAUACUAUCUACAACAAGAUCAAUAUUUCUGAUCGAAAAUUAUAGUGCUAUAUCACCACUUUUUAUAGGAUUUUUAUUUUCAGCCGUUAAAAAUUAUUGACUUUGAAUCCUUUCGAUUGCUAGGUAAUGAUAUCAAAAAAUGGCAAAAAUUAUUUUCUAGAAACUUCAAAUACGCUAGAUCAAGUCUAACGGAGCCGAUCGUUGAUUCGGAAAUUCCAUCAUCGAAAAUGGCUCAGGAGCACGGAGGCCUCCUUGCUCCUGAGAGCACAGCAGCACUUAUAAAAGCACCAAGCACUUAUUGCUUGUAAAUUUUUUACCUUUAGAUCUACACCUUUGAUCAUUUUUACCCGUUAGUUUGUACUAUUGAACCAACCACCUACUCAACCCUAGGGGGCCCACAUAUAGAGUCCAGCUAUGGUGCUAGUAAAAGCACCAAGCACUUAUUGCUUGUAAAUUUUUUACCUUUAGAUCUACACCUUUGAUCAUUUUUACCCGUUAGUUUAUACUAUUGAACCAACCACCCCCUCAACCCUAGGGGGCCCACAUCAUCCUAACCACACAUCUCUUAAUCUAAGGGCCGAAAACUUACAUGUACCAAUGACUUGGUACUUUUAAAAGCAUAGGAGCUCAAUUCUAUAUAUAUAGAAUUAGGCUACUAUACUAUCUCUAGUACCGGAGCUCCGGUACUAUAGUCUUAUUUUCGAUCUUAGGGUGUUCAAAUUAACGAUCCACACCGUUAAUACCCUAGAUCAGUUUUAACGGUGUGGAUCGUUGAUUUGAACACCCUAAGUUUGAAAACGAAACUAUAGUACCGGAGCCCCGGUACUAUAGAUAAUAUAGGAGACUAGUUCUCUCUCUCUCUAUAUAUAUAUAUAUAUAUAGGCUAAGACUAUUAUAUUCUUAAGAGUAUAAAUUUUUUUACACUCAUAAAUUUUUGAUCGUUGGAUGACGAGAUAAGGUGGUUAGGAUGAUAAUGGUCUUCUAGGAUUGAGUGGAUGGUUGGUUGACUUGUAUGAUCUGAUUGAGUGGGUGGUUUUCUUGACUAGUAUGAUCUAAUUGAUGGAAAUAGUCNAUAUAUAUAUAUAUAUAUAUAUAUAUAUAUAUAGAGAGAGAGAGAGAGAGAGAGAGAGAGUUGAGUUGCAAUGCUAUCAGUAGCAAAAGAGCUUCGUUGUCACUAAUUUAUUUUCGAUGAUGGAGCCUCUAAAUCGACGAUUGGCAUCGUUGAACAUAAUCUAUACCGCGUUAAGUAUCUAGAAAUCAAUUUUCAAAUAUUUUCGACAUCAUUGGCCUAAUGAUCAAAUGUUUUCAAAAUUUGUAAUUUUUACGGUCGAUAUAAAAUAUUUUCUCGUUUAACGAUGUAAAGAUAUACCGAACGUCCCUAGAGCAAGUGGCAAAAGGCUUUGUGGUUAUUACCCGAGACCCAGGUUAGAAUCCUAGUUGAUUCAUAUUUCCAGCUAAGUUUAUUUCUAAAUGAAAUAAAUAAAGCGGGUAGCGUGCCACCUAUCUCUCAAAAAAAAAAUUUGAUGUAAAGAUAUUCAAAUUAAUUGAAUUUUGACUAGAAAAUUUUUUAAACUAUUUAGAAAACGAUCUAGUUGAAUUUUUAUACUUAAUUAAGCUUGACUUUUUAUUAAAUUGAAUGGCUUUAUUAAUUGUAAAUUGUUAAUUGUUUUAGUUUUUACUUGGUAAAUUUUGUUACAAUUAUCAAUAAAUCUAAUAAAAAUUUAAAAAACUUUAAAAGUACUUGAGAAAGCUUGGAAAAAAGAAAAAGAAAAAUAGUUGGGGACAUGAAUUUUUACCUCCUCAUCAAUAUGUGACCUACCCUAUGCUACCCUAACCCAUAGCUCAUAAAAAUGAUGUGACGUUUUGACCAGUACCACAUGUGCACUCAUGGAGAUCUGAAAAUUAAACCACCUAGGGAUCUGGUAUUUGUAAUAAAACAAAAAUUUACAAAGAACCAUACAUCUAUGCACCACUUAUACAAUUUUAAAGAAAUUAUUUUAUAGAUCUUUGUGCUUGGCAUUAUUUUUGAAUUAUUUUUUACUCGAUAAAUCUAGGUACUGAGUUCAAUUUUUGCUUUACGAUUUAAAGUUAUAAACUCCGACCUCUUCACCACUCAUGUUCUUUUUUAUUCAUAAUAACUAUUAUCGAAGAAAAAUUCAAAAUCUAAAUGAUAAUAAAAGAUAUAUAAAUGUUACAACGAGCACACAAACAAAAAUGAAAACAGCUAUUGUAAAAUAAACAAACCAUAAAGUAGUAAGGAAAGAUAGAACAUAAAAAUUUACGCGAAAAAAAAAUUUCAAAGAAAAAUCACGAGCGAAAGAGAGAACUUCACUAUAUGAAAAAAAAAAAGAAGGUAUAAUCUUGUGGAGAAAUAUAAUAUGCGAUAUAUUGUCUAGGGCAAAGAAAAAGAAAACUGAAAUGUAAUGGAAAGACCUCCACAUCUGACCCGUUUGUUUCUUAAUGGGUUCUUUCAAAAUUUGAUCAGAUUUUUCUUUUUCACCACAUAUAAUUUUUUUUUUUUAAUUUAUCACACCGCAAAGCUUUCGGCAAAUAGGGGCACAAAAUCAAACUCGAUAACUAAACUUUGAUACAAAUCUAAUAAUAAUUUAGCAUGUUACCCUUUUAUUUACCCUAGAAAGGCCUAGAUUCCAUUAUACAAAAAGAAUCACAAUUUGUCUCCCAGGAAAGCGUGCUCACAAAAACCUAGCAAUGCAUGGCUGGCAAACACUUAGUUUGUCUUACUAAUCACUUAUUUAAUCAUGCAUUAAAUCUAAAGUUAAUCUUAUUCCUUUCCUUAAACCGAGGAGUCAAUUUGUCCUUGUGUAUAAAUUUAUAUGUUUCAAUUGCUUCCAUUUGGAUUAAACAAAGAUAUAUAUAACAUCUAAAACCAAGGGCUAGGAAGGUACUUCUUAAUUACUUUCCCCUUGUUUGAGGAAAUUAACCACCAUGAGAGGGACCUUUUUUGGCACAUUGUAGUUACUUUUUUUUCAAAUGUGAUUAAGUGAUCAAUUGCCCCAGGGAUUCUUAAAUUUUUUGCGCGGUUUCAAUUUAGUCCUCAACCUUAUACAUUGCAAUCUUGUUCUUUUUAUUAGAUUUGUCCAAUAAAUUUGGCAGAAAUAAACGCGUAUGUGCUAAGUUACGUUUACAUAAGAGACGGUUGAACUUCUCAUUAGCNAGAGAGAGAGAGAGAGAGAGAGAGAGAGAGAGAGAGAGUUGAGUUGCAAUGCUAUCAGUAGCAAAAGAGCUUCGUUGUCACUAAUUUGUUUUCGAUGAUGGAGUCUCUAAAUCGACGAUUGGCACCGUUGAACAUAAUCUAUACCACGUUAAGUAUCUAGAAAUCAAAUUUCAAAUAUUUUCGACAUCAUUGGCCUAAUGAUCAAAUGUUUUCAAAAUUUGUAAUUUUUACGGUCGAUAUAAAAUAUUUUCUCGUUUAACGAUGUAAAGAUAUACUGAACGUCCCUAGAGCAAGUGGCAAAAGGCUUGGUGGUUAGUACCCGAGACCCAGGUUAGAAUCCUAGUUGAUUCACAUUUCCAGCUAAGUUUAUUUUUAAAUGAAAUAAAUAAAGCGGGUACAGUGCCACCUAUCUCUCAAAAAAAAAAUGAUGUAAAGAUAUUCAAAUCAAUUGAAUUUUGACUAGAAAAUUUUUUAAACUAUUCAGAAAAAGAUCUAGUUGAAUUUUUAUACUUAAUUAAGCUUGACUUUUUAUUAAAUUGAAUGGCUUUAUUAAUUGUAAAUUGUUAAUUGUUUUAGUUUUUACUUGGUAAAUUUUGUUACAAUUAUCAAUAAAUCUAAUAAAAAUUUAAAAAACUUUAAAAGUACUUGAGAAAGCUUGGAAAAAAGAAAAAGAAAAAUUGUUGGGGACAUGAAUUUUUACCUCCUCAUCAAUAUGUGACUACCCUAUGCUACCCUAACCCAUAGCUCAUGAGGAUGAUGUGACGUUUUGACCAGUACCACAUGUGCACUCAUGGAGAUCUGAAAAUUAAACCACCUAGGGAUCUGGUAUUUGUAAUAAAACAAAAAUUUACAAAGAACUAUACAUCUAUGCACCACUUAUACAAUUUUAAAGAAAUUAUUUUAUAGAUCUUUGUGCUUGGCAUUAUUUUUGAAUUAUUUUUUACUCGAUAAAUCUAGGUACUGAGUUCAAUUUUUGCUUUACGAUUUAAUGUUAUAAACUCCUACCUCUUCACCACUCAUGGUCUUUUUCAUUCAUAAUAAGUAUUAUUGAAAAAAAUUCAAAAUCUAAAUGCUAAUAAAAGAUAUACAGCUGAGAUAAAUGUUACGACGAGCGCACAAACAAAAAUGAAAACAACGAUUAUAAAAUAAACAAACCACAAAGUAGUAAGGAAAGAUAGAACAUAAAGAUUUACGUGAAAAAUUUUUUGCGAAGAAAAACCUCGAGCGAAGAGAGAAUUUCACUAUAUGAAAAGAAAGGUAUAAUCUUGUGGAGAAAUACAAUAUGUGAUAUAUUGUCUAGGGCAAAGAAAAAGAAAAUUGAAAUAUAAUGGAAAGACUUCCACAUCUGACCCAUUUGUUUCUUAAUGGAUUUUUUCAAAAUCUGAUCAGAUUUUGAAUUUCCACCAUAUAUAAUCUUUUUUAAAAAAUUUGUGACACCGCAAAACUUUCGACAAAUAGAGACACAAAAUCGAACUAAAAAACUAAACUUUGAGACAAAUCUAAUAAUAAUUUAGCAUGUUACCCUUUUAUUUACCCUAGAAAGGCCUAGAUUCCAUUAUACAAAAAGAAUCACAAUUUGUCUCCCAGGAAAGCGUGCUCACAAAAACCUAGCAAUGCAUGGCUGGCAAACACUUAGUUUGUCUUACUAAUCACUUAUUUAAUCAUGCAUUAAAUCUAAAGUUAAUGUUAUUCCUUUCCUUAAACCGAGGAGUCAAUUUGUCCUUGUGUAUAAAUUUAUAUGUUUCAAUUGCUUCCAUUUGGAUUAAACAAAGAUAUAUAUAACAUCUAAAACCAAGGGCUAGGAAGGUACUUCUUAAUUACUUUCCCCUUGUUUGAGGAAAUUAACCACCAUGAGAGGGACCUUUUUUGGCACAUUGUAGUUACUUUUUUUUCAAAUGUGAUUAAGUGAUCAAUUGCCCCCGGGAUUCUUAAAUUUUUUGCACGGUUUCAAUUUAGUCCUCAACCUUAUACAUUGCAAUCUUGUUCUUUUUAUUAGAUUUGUCCAAUAAAUUUGGCAGAAAUAAACGCGUAUGUGCUAAGUUACUUUUACAUAAGAGACGGUUGAACUUCUCAUUAGCGUGAUUUGUGAAUGGUUUUGUUUAGAUGCAUGUGCGGAAUUGUCACUUGAUAGUUAUGUCAUAUGUGGCACAAAUAGUGAUAUUUCCUUGCAACUUAAUAGCAACUUUAAGAUUAUUGAACAAUAUUUUAAUUAGAGACUCAAAUGAGAGAACACCUUUGCAAAUUACUUAAUCCAUUUAUCAUGUAUUUGUGAUAAUUAAGAGAAAUGUAAUUUUAGUGAGAGUAAAAACUAUAUGUGCACACUUGUGUGGAGGUGAUAUUUCAAUUGCAAAGGAGACAAACCUUUAACUCUUCAAGUAGUUUAUUGACUUUUCUUCUUGCCCUUUGACCAUGAUGAAUAGUUCCUUUAUUUGUUUCUUGUUUAAACACUAUUUUGAGAACCUUUUGUUCCAACACUUUCACGCACAUCCACGAAAACAGUAUCAUGUGUCUCCGUAUACUUUAAAAUGCAUGAGAAAUACAAAUAUAUAUGUUAUACUCAAAGAGAGAGAGAAAUAUGAGGUGCUAAUUCCUCACUACUUUAAGAGCAGCCAUUUUGAAAAGUUUCAAUUCGUAAUCAUCUUGAUAACCAAGAGCUAGCAUGUUGUUAGGCAUGUGGAAAAGAUCUAGUUCGUGGACGUGAAAAUAUCAAAAAGAAUUGAGAAAGAUAAAAGAAAAAUAAAACACACAAAUAUUUACUUGGUUCGAUUACUAGUCAACAUUCGCAGGAGAAGACAGAGUGAAGAUUUUUAUUUUAAUCAAACUGAAGUACACAUUAUAUAUCUCUCACAAAAUUCUAAUCCUAAAAAUACAACCAUACUUUUCAUCUACCAAACUGAAUCAAUUCAUAAUCAUAUUGACAUGUACAUUGUAUGAUUAGUAAUCAUCUCGAAAUAUCAUCUUGUUAAUUAACCAAGAGCAUGCAUGUACAUGUAACUUGUGUACUACAAUUUGCGCUCGACAUUUGUAUGAUUAGUAGCCAAAACAAGAACGUGAAUAUAUGGAUUUUUUUAUGGCGUUCGCCGCAUCACACACAAAAUCAAAUGGCUAUUCAUAUCAAAGAAAGAAGACCACAUGCAUCAAUAUCCCUGAACAACAAGAAUUUGCUAGUAAAUUUUCUAUUUCUUGUUGUAAUUUGUACAUGUUUUAAAUUCAUUAUUUCUUGUCUCAUGCUCCUCGCAGCGUGCGCACAUAUAUAUAUUGCCCUAAAGUACUCUUGUUUAAUUAUACAUAUAUAUAUAUAUUAAUUCCUAAUACAACUUCUCAACAGAGACCAUGCACGAAGUAUCUGAUCCAGUUGACAAUUAACUAUUUUGCUCACAACACUUGUCCAGCAAUUUUAACUUGUAUAUGUUAAUUAGCUAAAUUCAAAACAAAUGUUACACAGAUUCCUUAUGCACAUUAAUUUUUCCUCCAAGCAUUGCUCAUAGUUACUCUUGUUUAUUUGUUUGUUAACUUUAAAAUGAAUUUUCACAUAUUCCUUAUAUUAUAUGGUGUAUUAAACUCUUGGUCCAAAAACUAAAGUUAUUGUCCACCAAUUAAUUUCAGCUUGUAUAUAUAUUUAUUAAACUCCAACAUAGUUUGCCUCCAACAUAUUAUAUAAGUUCUGUUCACAACUUUUCCUAUGGAUUGAUUAAUUUGAGGACUAAAACGUUUAACAAGAUCAAAGUUAAUUAAAUUUAAUUUAAGUGGUCCAAGUGAUUUGAUUCUUUCUGCUUUAAUUUUUUUUAAUCUCUUUAGAAGAAUUGUCGGGUUUUUCAUAUGCAUCAAUUACUACCUUAGGGGUGUUUGUUAGACAACUUGUCCUCUAGUAAUCACUAUUUGAGACAAAUUGUCUCUACCUUCAGAAAAUAAAACGUAAAAAAAAAAAAGAAAUUACCCGCAAAUUAAUAUAGGUUGCUCAAACAAGUUGUCCCUUGGUUUUUUAUUGAUAGCAGUUUGUGUGAAUUACUUAAGUAAGAAUUAGGUAUUAAAUUAAUUAUAUACAUUAUUGAACUUUUGCACUAUAAAUUGUUGUUCUUGCCUCUGAAUUUUAUGAGUUUNUAUAUAUAUAUAUGAGUUUGGUUACUAUACUAUCGAUAAUAUCAAGCCUUGGUACUAUUGAGUUUUCUACCGUUAGAUCUACACUUUGAUUAUUUUCACCCGUUAGAUUAUACUAUUAAACCAACCACCCACUCAACCCUAGGGGACCACUAUUAUCCUAACCACACAUCCUUUCAUCCAACAGCCGAAAACUCAAUAGUACCAAAAGCUUGAUACUAUCAAUAGUAUAGUAGCAUAAUUCUAUAUAUAUAUAUCUAUAUAAUACGAACGUUGCAAAUACAACUUAUGUACUGAUUAACCACUGCAUCUUCUAUAUAAAUAUCUUCCGUGCUUAUUUUAUAUAUAUAUAUAUAUAUAUAUAUAUAGAAUUAGGCUGGAAUUCUAUUAAUAGUAAAACGCUCUUUUUGCUAUCAAGUUUUUAACCCUUGGAUGAAAAAUUGUAGGAUCGGGAUGAUAUUAGUCGUUUAGAGUUGAGUGGUCCCCUUAGGGUUGAGUGGUCCCUACUGGGUUAUAGUAUUUAAUCUAAUGGUUAGAAAUAAUGAAAAGAGUUGAUCCAAAGGCUAAAAAACUGGUAACAACGAUGGGAUUUUGCUACUAAUAUUAAGUUGUUUCUGUAUAACUAUAUAUAAUAAUACAUGCUAUAUUUAUUUACUUACCGAGAUAUAUAUAUAUAUAUUGUGUCUUCUUGUAAAGACGCCAUAUCAGACACCAGAUAUACAACCGCAACACAAUCUAAUGUGACAACAUGCCAUGGGGACUCACUACAACAGAAUUAGGUUAUAGGGACACAUGUUUGGGACAUUUUUGAGUAAGUGUCCCAUUUAUGCUAAAACUUAAAAAAAUAUCUGCUAAUGCCUAAAUAUAAAGCCCAAUCCAACCAAAAAUAAAAGAUUACUCUACUCAACCCACCACACCCAGUUCAUUUGGCCCGAUUACAAACAGAAAAGAAAAAAAAAAAGAAAAAUCAAUUACCAUCUUUUCUUCUCUCUUCACUCAAUCCACUGAAAUUCUAGACGAAGAGCCUUUCCUGUCGUCCUCCUCCGCCACCGCAGCCAACGAGAUAAAAUUUCGGCGGUUGCUAAAUGCUUAAAUAAGUGUUCGUAAAUUAGCAGCACUCUUUUAGGUUAUAGCGACACUCUUUAACUGUCAAUAUAUACCUAGCGACCCCACAUAUAGUAACACUUUUUAAAAGUGUCGGUAAUUUUAGCUAGCAGCACUUUUUUGACAUGUACCUAUAUUUAAAAGUAUCGCUAUAGACCGUUUUUGUUGUAGUGACUUUUGAGAGAAGUCCCAACUCAACACGGCAUUAGCUAGUCUUACCUAUAAAUGCAAAAAACUAACAUGAUAGAUAUAUGGCGCAGUAAAGAAAAAGGUUAAAAUAUUUUGAACAUAAGUAUACCAAGUUGGAGACACUUAGACACAAACCUGUUAAUUAAUUGAGAAAAAUAACAUGACUGUCGAAGAUGAAUGCUGCAAAUAUGUUUGUUUUUGCACCAAGUAAUCACUCAAUUGAUCUGCCAAUGAUUAGAAAUUAUGAACUCACAAAUGACUUCUUAUAAGAGCUCCUUUAUUCAUGUGAAAACUUUUGAAUACUACAAGGUAUAUAAUCAAACACUAAUCUUACAAUUAAUGACAAGAAAUGUUCAACAAACAAUUAAUUAAAUUCAAUGAAUAUAUCAUUGCUUUUACAAGUUAUAAAUCAUUUCCUGUUAUUACUAUCUUAAGUUGUCAUAUCUAAUUAAUGGAUCUACUGCUUCUGAGUUUGAUGAAGUUGUAAUUUAUGUCUGAUGGUUAAAACCGCAUCUGCACGUGAGUUAAACAGCGGGAAUUAAAAAAAAAAUUUAGCGGUUUGCUUUUAGCAUCUUUAGCUAUUGUUAUUAUUGUUUGUAUUCGAGUAAAAGCAACAAUUUGCGCGCUUUAUCUUCAUGAUCUAUGUUCAAGUGCACUAAACAAGUACAAAAUAUUCUAUCAGCGACAAGCUAUUAUUUAGUUACUCCAAAAAAAAAAGCUCAAAACCACUAAUAUAAUACUAAUUAAGCCUGGUAACACCAACCGUCCCUAGUGCAAGUGGCAAAAAGCUUGGUUGUUGGUACCCGAGGUCCCAAGUUCGAAUUCUAGUUGAUUCACAUUUCUAGUUAAGCUUAUUUCUAAUGAAAUAAACGAAGCGGAUAACAUGUUACCUAUCUCUUAAAAAAAAAAAAAAUUAAGCCUGCUAACACUUAGCUUGAGAAUCAAUUUCUCAGACCAAAUGUUAAUCAAAUCUCCACUUGCUUUUAGCGCUUCGAGCUACAAAAAGGCAAAAAGUUCAAAAGAGAAUAUUCAUGUUUUAAUCAAUUGACUAAUUAUAACAAAACAGAUCCUUUACUAUUGAUGAUAUGUGCUAUAUAUAGCCAUAUCUUGCAUGAUGCAUCAAUCAUUCAAAACAUAUAGUUUAUGUUAAACAACUGUUGUAUUCUAACAACUUAAGCUUUUAGAGUAUGUCAGUUAUUUAACAAAAUAUCAGAACAAGAGAUCCUAAGUCCGAAUCACGCCAGACUCCUAAAUUACUAAUUUUUCCCAUUUAAUUCAAAUCCACGUCAUGAACCUUGUAAAAAGUCUCGAGCCCAUACAUGAGGAGGAGAGUGUUAAAUAUAAAAAUAUAUAAAUACUGUUCUCUAACGGCUUUAGCUUUUAGAGUACGGUGGUUGCUUGACAGUUUAUGAGCUUUAUCUGAAAAGAAGUUGUAGAUUGCUUUAUAAUGAUAGUCUAUGCAAGAAGUAUUGAUUGCCUUCAUUCUAAUUGAGGAUUAGCUAGGGCAAAGUGAUGAAACAUGAAACAGGUCAUUAGGUUGCGUUAUUUGGAAAAGAUCAUAUACUAGAAAAACGUCGCCUUUCGAUACAUUCUUGUUACCAUUUAGAAAGUAGGAAACUUAAUUACAGUACAGCAACAAUUCGCUUCCUCUUUAUACUUUUGUAUCUUGUGGAGUUGCAUUACCAUUUAGAGACUGUUUGAAUUUAAAGUUUGUUUGGUUAGUGAUCAUGUAAUUUGAUUUAUUCAAAUUUUUCAGAAACAAAGUAUGCAGAUGCAUACGUUGCUAAAUUUGUUUGAUUUGAUCAAAAGCAGUCGAUUGAUCUUACUUAUUCAUUUCAUUUAUGCACAAUAGAUCCAAAGAGAAAAUUUGAAAUUAUAACAGAAACUGAAAAAUGCAAGUAAAGAAGAAUGUUUCAUCUAAAAUUUUGUAGUACUAAUCCCUCUCGGAGUUUCUUUCUCACCAUACGAAUGGUACUGAUAUCGCAUCCUUAGAGUAAGAAAAGGAGAAAAACUAUGACUAGUAUGUGUACAAAUAGAGUGGUUCAACUACAAACACCACCAUGUUGGCAGGGAAAAAAAAAAAAGAAAAGAACAAGAACAAGAACAAGAAAAAGAAAAUGGUGCUUGAUUAUGGUCAAUCGUGCCAACAAAGAAGCAUCACGACGCAGCGUCGUAUAAUGUAUAGUUUGGCUCUUUGCUCCCUUAGAGCUCUGCUGAGCCCUCCUUUUUGCUUCUCCUGGCUAUGUAGCUUCAUUGUCAUGGCGUAAUUAGCUUGAAUAGUUGUAAAGUGGAGAGGAGAAAAUAGUGUGUUGAGAAACAAUAAGUGAGAGAGAGAGAAGUAGAGGGUACUCUUUGCUAGCAAUUGUAGUUGGAUUGAAUAGUUUGAGGGGAUUCACAUAUGGAUUUUAUAGAGAGAUCAGAGAAAAUGGGGGGAAAUUAAGGGAGUGGUCCAACACCUAGAGGGCUUGUUAAUUAAGAGGUGCUUUCACACAAGUGUAGUAUCUUGAUUGUUACUUAGGAGACAAGGCUCUGAAUUCAUGUAUAUUGUUUUAUCUUUCUUGCUUCUUUUGCCUAUAAUUGUUUUGUUUUCUUUAAGCUAUAGAAAUUGUGGCCUUAAGCAAGCAUCAAAUUCAGGUAUAUUUGUCUCUCCUGCCUCUUUCACUGUACUGAGAAGUACUUCCUCGCCGAUCGAUUGCUUGAAGAAAACAAUGUUGAUAAAAUAUUACUUGUCGGAUCGUUAGCGCUAAUCAUUAAUCCCAAAAGCUCGAGCUGUAGAAAUACGUAACCAAUUCACUUAAAACGUACAGAUACAGCGCCCACAGGUCUCGAUUAUGACUGGGUCCAACCAGCCUCAUGCCACUUCGAACAUGACUCAACUCACCCUCACGCUAUUUCGAACAUAACUCAGCCCAACAUAGCCUUUCGCCAUAAAGCAAAAUGCUAACUCAUUUAAGCCAGCAAUCCCCUCUCUAGCAUCUGCACACAUUUGCAGUAUUGGGGAAUCGAACUCGCGAUUUCUGGCUCUGAUACCACUUGUCGAAUCGUUAGCGCUAACCAUUAAUUCCAAAAGCACGUGCCGUUAGAAAUAUAAAACCAAUUCACUUAAAACAUACAGAUACAGCGCUCACGAGUCUCGAUUGUGACUCGACCUAACAGGCCUCACGUCACUUCGAACAUGACUCGGCCCAACAUGACCUUCCGCCACAGGACAAGAUGCUGACUUAUUUAAGCCAACAUUAGGUACGUACGCACGCAUUUUCUUUUUUCUCUCAGUUGGCACAUGCAACCUAUCCUAUCAUGGCGCUCGCAACGAGAGCUUUACUAGAGCAAGUGACAGGUUUUGUUUGCCUAUCGAGGCAGUCGCACUCAUCGUCACAUAAAAAAGAAAAUCGACUGGCCUCUUGUGUGAAUGAAAAGCUAAAUUCGACUAUAUUAUGUCGAGAUCCGAGCGUGCACUAGAAUAUUUUUGCGAGCUAACUGUUCUUGAUCACUGAUCAGUCUCUUGUAUCUGUCCUUCGACUGCACGGAAAAUGCUUUUUUUUGUUCCCCUCCUAAUAUUCAAUAACAAGUUGCAUGGAGCAUGUCUCCUGAUCAGAGUAUAUAUACUUGUUUAUUAAUUCCUAGAAUGGCUUUUCAUAUAUAUACUGUUGUAGUACAUGGCUUGACAAUUCUUUACUCACAAAUCCAUGCCAUUUGUAGCAUUAAUUUUUUAAUUAAAUCCCUACUUUCUUUGCCUCCUUUCACAUUCAAUUCUCUUCACCACCUUCCUGUGGACACAAAGUUUCUAUGCCUAGGAUGCUUAAAACAAUCAUGAUUUUCAUUUGUACCUAAUUUUGUUAGUUUCUUUACUUGCCCUCUCCUUCAUGGUCUCUGUUUGUUCAGUUCUUGUCAUGUUGAAAUAACAAUGACAUGCAAAUACCAAAAUAAAGGAAUAUUUUAUGUAAUUUUAAGCAAAUGCUGUCGCUGUUCGACACAAAUUUUUGCUGCAUUUGAAACAGUUGGCAAGCUAUAUAGUGUUCAAUGCUGCAGCAUUUUUUUUUCUCAUUUCUUGCUUAAAAAUAUCCUAAUAAAAGAACAUUAGAUAGAUAUAAAAUAUUGAAGUACAUCUCCUAAGUUUUUGAAAUUACGGAAGCCUCCGUACUUAUAAGUUAUUUUUUAUGAUGGGAUAUCUAAUUCGAUGAUCAACUCUAUUGUGAAUGAUCUAUACUAUUAGAACUAUUUAGAAAUUAAAUUUCAUAAUUUUUCGACAUCAUUUAGCAAGUAAUCAAUAAGUCUAAAAAAUGACUAUUUUAAUGGCCGAUGUGGCACGUUUGUAAGUUCAACGAUAUAGAACAAUUCAAAUUACAUAAAACUUUGGCUAAAUUACAUAAAAACCCAGUCAAAACCUGAUUUUUCACUUUUCCCCCCUGUCAUUUAAAAACCUACACUUUGUCCCCUUAUAAAAUGAAAAAUGUUCACGGGGUUGUACGAUGUGAACAGUGAUGACAAAAUGACCAUUUUGCCCCUCACCAUUUUCGUCUCCUCCCUCAUCUUGCUCAUCCGCCGCCUCGAUCGGCCGCAGUUCGCGCCUCAAUCGACCGCAGUGCCUUUCCAUUUUCUUCUUCACCUACUUCCCUUCUCCUCCUACACCUUCGUCGCCCCUCCAUUUCAGCGACAGUAGGGAGGAAAUCGAGGUGGGCGUGGAGGGAGAGGUGGGCAAGGGCAACGAGGGCGAAGGCGAGGCGGUGGAGGAGAGCGAGGGGGUGUUUGUGGGUGCGGACGGAGAUGUAGGCGAGGGCGAGACAGUGGAGGAGGGCGAGGCGGCAAGGCGGAGGAGGGUUAAGCAUCAGUAGAGAGGGUGGAGGGUAUUUUUGACAUAAAAAAAUAUUUUAUAACGGAACCCUAACGGAUCACUAACGGUAGGGGAUAAAGUGAAUUUUUUUCAUUUUACAGGGGGGCAAAGUGUAGGUUUUUAAAUGACAGGAGAAAAAACUGAAAAAUUAAAUUUUUACAGGGGGGUUUUCUGUAAUUUAGCCUAAAACUUUAAUAGAAAAUUUUACUUAAUAUUAAGAGUAAAAUCAAUAAUUCCGGUUUGAAAUUUAAAUUUUUUAUUACUAUUUUUUGUAAGAUUUUUAUUUUCAGCCGUUUAUUUUGAGACUACAAGCUUACUAUGCAAACAAAGCUAAAAAAUUGUGAAAUUUGGAUUCUAAAUAGUUCUAAUAAUAUGGAUUAUGCCUAAUAGAGCCAAUCGUUGAAUCAGAUGUCCUAUUAUCAAAAACAACUUAUAAGUAUGGAGACCUCCGUACUUUCGAAAGUACAGGAGUCUAGCUCUAAACUAUUGUUACUCUUAUCAAUCUGGGACUCCUCUAUAUACUAUUCCCGUUAUGCUUCUAAUUUCAAUCAUAUAAAUAUAUAUAAAAAGUUAGGCUGGUAUAUUAUCGAUAACACAGAGGCCUUUAUACUACCAAAUUAUUUUCAAUGAUGUAGCUUCCAACUCGAUGAUCGACUCCAUUAGACUUGAUCUAUAUUAUUGAAAGUAUUUGGAAACAAAAUUUCAUAAUUUUCGAUAUCAUUUACCUAUCAAACGAGUAGUCUAAAAAUGAAAAGCUGAAAAUAAAAAUCUCAUAAAAAAUGAUGAUAAAAGACUUGAAUUUAAGAUCAGGGGUACUGAUCUUACUCUAAAUAGUGAAAGAAUUUUCUAUAAAAAUUUUAUCAGAUUUGAAUUAUUUUACACCGUUAAAUUCACAAACGCAUCACAUAUACCAUUAAAAUUGUCAAUUUUGAGACCUUUUGAUCACUAGUCAAAUGAUGUCGAAAAAUUAUGAAAUUUAAUUUUCAAAUACUUUUAAUAGUGUAAAUACAAGUCUAAGGGAGUCGAUCGUCGAUUUGGAAGCCGCAUCAUUAAAAACAACUUAGCAGUACGGAGGCCUCCGUGCUACCAAUAGUAUACCAGCCUAGCUCUAUAUAUAUAUUUAUAUAUAUAUAUAUAUAUAGAGAGAGAGAGAGAGAGAGAGAUCUAGAGAGAGAGAGAGAGGGAAAGAGAGAGGAUUGCUAUGCUCUUAGGAGCAUGGAGGUCUCAGUGCUUCUGAGCUGUUUUCGAUGAUAGAAUCUUGGAAUCGACAAACGGCUCCGUUAGACUUGAUCUAGCAUAUUUCGGAGUAAGGAUAUCUGAAAUUCCACAGUAUGAGAUACUUACUUUGCCCAUUAUACGAUGGCAAAAGAAUCUUUUUUUUCUUUUUCUUCAACGUAUACUUUAUAGAACAAGCAUCCGUGUGAAGGGUGAUUUUCGCCCUAAGUUAGAACCCAGUGUUAUGACUCUCGCUCAUCAUACAUAAUUAAUAGAAUCUUUCAAUAAUUAGCAGUACUCUGGGUUACUCUGGGUUUGGGAUUUAAGUUUAAAUCUUUGGUGACUAAAAUCAACAUUUGUUGAAUUAAAGAUCCCAAUUAAAGUGGUUAUGGAAAGUUUUCAACUUUUAUAGUAUUUAUGAGAAUGUUUUAGUCAUUAUAGUACGAAUGGAUAGAUUUAUAUAUGUAAGAAAGUUUAAAUGGGAAUAAACAUUUGAGGCAAUUUGUAACAUUAACAAAGUAACCUAAUUUUUAAUUUAAUGGCUGAGAUGGGAACUGGGAAUUUUCCACAACUUCCUAUAUCACUCUUUUAUAUAUAAGUUGGGGGAGUUUUGAUAUCCGACAAAACUUCUUCUAGUUGUUAGUUAUCUACUUUAUAACCUCUUUUUUUUUCUUUCUUUUAUAUAAGACUUAAAUAAUUACACUGAUCUUUGAUUUUUCGUAACACCCCUAGAUUCUUUUCGAUUCUUCUAAAAGCCUCCGGUUUUCAUAUUCGAAACGAAGUCGAAGAAGUAGAAACCGCAGACGACGUUGUUUUUAGAUAUAAUCUUCUACAACUACUUCGUUGACUAUGGACUAUUCGUAGAGAUAGGUUUUUCAUGAAAGAGUGUCUGUUCGGUUAGUUCUUAUUAAUAUAUAAAUUAUUACUUUCUAAAUACUUACGGACUACGUACCAUCCUACUAAUUAAGGGAGGUUAAUUGUUACUUAAUAAUAGUAACAUUUUAGUAAAGAAUUAAAUCCUUUCUUUAUAACAUCGAUUUUUCAACCACCACAGUGCAACGUACCGUAACAUGGUAUCUAAGAGGUGACGGAUUUUGCACUGUUUGAUAUACGUACGAAAAAAAAAAAAAGAUUAAUUUCAUUAAGUAAUUACACAGUAGUGUGUACGCGGAUUAAUAUUGGAGUUUUAUUAGGAGAGAAACUGUUAGUAAAAAAAAAUUAAUCAAUAUAGGUAAACGUAAUUAGUCGACAAACUAAUAGAUGUAACAUUCGAUAUUAUAUCCAUGUUAACAUGUGUUCGAGCUUUUUCAGAUAAAUUAAUGGAUAUCACAUCCUGAAUCUAUGUUAUUAACCUAAAUAUAUCUAUUUCCGAACUAACAACGUAAAGCAGGAUAUAGCUUUAAUCUACAUUUAGUAUUAAAUCGUCGACCUCUCUCAUUGAGAUGAGCUAUUUAUUAAUUAAUGAAUAGAAAGCGGAGUAGUCCUUUUCUUUUCUCUUUUCAAACGAAGAAACUCCAAUUAGAGUGGUAGAGCAUAAAUUUUAUCUUUCUACAUGCUUAUAACGAAAGUUAACGUUCAUUGGUUUUGAAUUUUAGGCAUCAGCGUUGUAAGAGUUAAUUUAUCAUGGCACGCUCAAUUUACGUUUACAAUAUUGAUGUAGGCUGGUUUGUUUUGUGGUCAAAAUAAAUUCUCGAAAAAACCUACGAACUUGUACGCCAAAUCAUAGUACACCGAAUUGGCUGGCAGGGAUCUCGUUCACCGUUUUCCAAACCACCAACCAUGGGCUCUGGAUUCAAGCUUAGGAUCAACUAAGUGUAAAGGUCGAUUUAAAUAAAGAUUUACUUUAUUUGCUUCGCCCAUCGCAUGCACGAUGAAUAGAGAGAGAGUUUUUUUUUCAUAGUACACCGAAUCAAAUGAGUUCCUAGUACGUUGUUAACUGUCUACUUAUCAUAUGAAUCUAUAUACAACGAAGAUUUAAUAAUAAGACUUUUUUCUUUUUGAUUAGUAUUCACGGAAAUCUCUGAAACUAGGUUCAAGAUCAUAAGUUUGUAAGUUUAUCAAAGAUUUUCUUUGACUAGAUAUUUCACACCUCUCACUAACCAGAAUAUGGUUUCUUAAGAAUUUAAUUUUCACAAUGCUGCUCACGUGUUUGUUUUUGCUUUCUGCCGUUUGCACUUUAUUUGUUUCAUGUUCGUCUUUUAUUUUAUUUGUGUUUCUAAAUGCACUUUUUAAGAAAAGUCCUUUUUUUAAUACCUACUUUCUCCUCUCUUAAAAUGAUACUUUUUUUUUCAUAUUACAAUACUUCUAAUGUUAUGCGAUGUAGUCUGGUUCCAGAGGCGAUGGGUGGUGUCUGUAGAUAAAAAGAAGGUGUUAAGUAAAGGGUUUUUAAGAUAGCGUGAUGCUUUAACAGUUAUUUAGUACCCGGGUUUUAGUUUCAACUAUUAGUUUAAAGCUCCGUGGAGAUUAAACGUUGGUGAAUGAGUUAAUCACUCCGACCAUACUAAGGCCUUCGUGUUUUGGGAGGUAUGAAGAUUCACGUACCAAAAGCUACAACUCUAAAAGCUUAGUUGUUAAACGAGACAAUCUGAACUAGUUCACAUAAACUUAAUGGACUUUUUAUUUAAAACACUAAAAAGCUAUAGUAAACGGAUUACUAGCUUCCCCGAGUUUUAAUUAUUAAAAUUACCGGCACCACUCGGCAAACGUUCAAAUUGCCACAUUUUUAUAAGUUUAGUACAUUUUAAAACUAUCUUUUAAAAAAUAUGAUAUAUUUUGUUCUAGUUAUAGAAACUAGAUUUUAAAAUUAUAAUAUAGUAGUGUAAAACAUUCUAAAAAUAAAAAUCGGCAACUAAAACUGGGGGAAGCUAGUAAUCCGUUUACUAUAACUUUUAGUUUUUUUAAUAAAAGAUAGUUUUAUUAGAUCUAAUUCAAAUUGUCUCGGUGGCUAGCAGCUAAACUUUCAGGGUUAUAGCUUUUACUGAACCUUCGUGCCUCCCGAGGCACGAAGGUCUUCGUAUGGUUGGCAUUAGAGAGAGAGAGAGAGAGAGAGAGAGAGAGAGAGAGAGAGAGAGAGAUAUAUAUAUAUAUAUAUAUAUAUAUAUAUAUAUCUCUCUCUCUCUCUCUCUCUCCCCCCUUUCUCUCUCGCGUUCCGACGACACGAGAAUCUUCGUGUCUUCUGAGGCGGGAAGCACGAGGACUCGGUAAAAGUUACUACUUUAAAAGCUUAAUUGCUAGCCGAGGCAAUUUAAACUAGAUCGCAUAAACUUCAAACCCUAUUAACGGAUAUAUGGGCAGUAUACAAACUUUUAUAGGUUAAAUGGGGAUAAAAAAAAAAGAAAGAUUUUAUGGGGAAUAUACAAGGUGGCAAUCACGUUUUAUGAGGGCGUCAAUAGAGGACAAUUCAAUUGAACCCAAUUUGCACUCAAUUUGUAGAUGGCGUCAAUUUUUUUUAAUUUUACGGUUAAAACGGGAAUUGAAUUCCCGUUUAUUCUUUACAACCACUGUCAUCUCCCCAUAUAUAACCUUUUCUGGUUUUCAAUUUCAUUAAAAACAUGGGGACCGAAAUUCCCGAUUAUUCUUUCAGUCACUACCACCUUCCCAUAUAAACUUUCCCGUUUUAUCAUUAAAAUGUCUCAAUUAUCUCAAUUAAUUGUUUAAAAUUAUAUAAUCUUUAUCCAACCUUGCAUUUCUCCCAUAAAAGUUAUAAUCGUAAGAUUCUCCCCAUUUAACCUUUCAGCCUUUGAAAAGUGCCCAUAUAUUCGUUAACGGGGAAUUUCAAAGAUCUUUUAUUAAAAACACUAAAAAGCUAUAAUAAAUGGAUCACUAGUUUUCCCAAGUUUUAGUUAUCAAAAAUUAUUAACUACAGACGGCAAAGUUCAAAUUGCCCCAUCUUCAUAAAUUUAGUCUAUUUUAAAACUAUGUUUUAAGAAAUAUAAUAGAUGUUGUCGUAGUUAUUGAAACUAGCUUUUAAAAUUACAAUAUAGUGUUGAAAAAUAUCUUAAAAAUAAAAAUCGGCAACUACAAUUUAGGAAGACUAACGAUUCAUUUAUUAUAGUUUUUUGACAUUUUUAAUAAAAGAUCUUUGAAGNGCUAGUUUAACGGUGUAAAAGAAUCGAAAUUUGUUGAAUUUUUGAUAGAAAAUUCUAUUCACUACAUAGAUAAAGAUCAAUAACUCCGAUCUUGAAUUGAAGAAUCCGAUUAUCCUUUUUUAGGACGUCGUUCGAUUUUGACCAUUCAUUUUAUGCCCACUUGAUGGAUUUAAUUAUGAUUUCGAAAAUUUACGAAAUUUAUUUUCUAGAAGUUUCAAAUACUCUAGAUCAUAUUUAACGGAGUGGAUUGUCGAUUCGGAAGCUCCAUCAUUAAAAAUAACUUAUGAGUACGAUGGCUCCAAUACUCAUAAUAGUAUAGUAGCCAUGGCCUAUAUAUAUAUAUAUAUCACACACACACACACACACACACACACACACACACACACACACACACACACACACGAAGGUUGCAAAUACAACUUAUAUAUAUCACACACACACACACGAAGGUUGCAAAUACAACUUAUCUAAUGUGACAACAUGCCAUGGGGACUUUUGAGAGAAGUCCCAACUCAACACGGCAUGAGCUAUAGUCUUACCUAUAAAUGCAAAAAACUAACAUGAUAGAUAUAUGGCGCAGUAAAGAAAAAAGUUAAAAUAUUUUGAACAUAAGUAUACCAAGUUGGAGACUCUCAGACACAAACCUGUUAAUUAAUUGAGAAAAAUAACAUGACUGUCGAAGAUGAAUGCUGCAAAUAUGUUUGUUUUUGCACCAAGUAAUCACUCAAUUGAUCUGCCAAGGAUUAGAAAUUAUGAACCCACAAAUGACUUCUUAUAAGAGCUUCUUUAUUCAUGUGAAAACUUUUGACUACUGCAAGGUAUAAUCAAACACCAAUCUUACAAUUAUUGACAAGAAAUGUUCAACAAACAAUUAAUUAAAUUCUAUGAAUAUAUCAUUGCUUUUACAAGUUAUAAAUCAUUUCCUGUUAUUACUAUCUUAAGUUGUCAUAUCUAAUUAAUGGAUCUACUGCUUCUGAGUUUGAUGAAGUUGUAAUUUAUGUCUGAUGAUUAAAAUUGCAUCUGCGCGCACGUGAGAUGAAAAAAAAUUUAUCGGUUUGCUUAAUUUUAGCAUCAUUAGUUAUUGUUAUUAUUGUUUGUAUUUUAAAAAAAGCAACAAUUUGCUUUAUCUUCAUGAUCUAUGUUCACGUGCACUAAACAAGUUCAAAAUAUUUGAUCAGCGAUAACCUAUUAUUUAAUUACUCUAAAAAAAGCUCAAAACCACUAAUAUAAUACUAAUUAUGCCUGCUAACACUUAAGUCGACAGUCAAUUUAUUAGACCAAAUGUUAAUCAACUCUCCACUCGCUUUUAGCGCUUCGAGCUACAAAAAGGCGAUAAGUUCAAAUGAGAAUAUUCAUGUUUUAAUCGAUUGACUAAUUAUAACAAAAUAGAUCCUUCACUAUUGAUGAUAUGUGCUAUUAAUAAUAUUCCAGCCUAGUUAUAUAUAUAUAUAGAGCAGGGCUGCUGUGCUCUCAGGAGCACGGAGGAGCACGUCCGUGCUCCUGAGCCGUUUUCGAUGAUGGAGUUUUCGAAUCGACGAUCGGCUCCGUUAAACUUGAUCUAGUAUAUUUGAAGUUUCUAGAAAUAAUUUUUGCGAUUUUUCGUUAUCAUUUACCUAGCAAUCGAAAUGAUUCAAAAUCAAUAAUUUUUAACAGCUUAAAAUAAAAAUUCUAUAAAAAGUGGUGAUAUAGCACUAAAAUUUUCGAUCAAAAUUAUUGAUCUUGUUAUAAAUAGUAUAAAGAAUUUUGUAUCAAAAUUUCAUCUGAUUUGAAUACUUCUACACCGUUAAACUUGAAAACGGCAGAUAUCAACCAUUAAAAAUUAUGGAUUUUGAAUCCUUUCGAUCACUAGGUAAAUGAUAUCGAAAAAUCGCAAAAAUUAUUUUCUAGAAACUUCAAAUGCGCUAGAUCAAGUCUAACGGAGCCGAUCGUCGAUUCGAAAAUUCCAUCAUCGAAAACAACUCAGGAGCACGGAGGCCUCCGUGCUCCUGAGAGCAC